ACUGGAUAUGCUGGUACUUUGAUCUUGGACUUCCAGCCUCCAAAAUGGCCAAGCAAUUCCGGGACCCCAACCCAAUCAAGUUCCUGCAUCUGUGGAUCUGAGGACAAAACACACCAUUUUGCCAAGGCUCUUCUAAGACUGACAAAUUAUCGUUCCUAAGAUGCAGCCCUUCAUCAGUGCCUAUCUAUUUUUACCCCAGUGCCAAAUAAGGAUUAGAUUUCAGGAGCUGUUAAAGAAUAGUAAGAGGAAGAGGCAGAAAAGAGACACCAGAAGAAAGCUGAUAGAAAUAGGAAAAGGUCAGGCUCCGAACGGUGGCUUUGAGAUCACUCUCCAGCAGCGCAGGUUCCUAGAGCUGUGCGCUCUGCCCAGCUAAGGGUACUCUCCUGUACAGGUUGAUCUGAAUAUCUGACAUGUUUAAAUUUUGUCAAAAUACUUUGCUUUCUACCUCACUUUCUGUUUUUUUUAUCUUACUUUAAUUUACAAAAAGAGAGAUAGAAGAGAGCUAACUCAGGCAACAUCUUCUGACAAGGGUUCCAAAGGAUGUUUGGUGGAAAAGUGCUGUAAAGAAGCCAACUAUCUAUAUUUUGCACUUCUAAUUCCCUAAAGCUUCACUUAGUUGGAAACCAUACAUUCUACAAAACUAAGGACAUAAGUUAUAUGUGGUACUUAUGGGGUGUGUAGAGUGGUACUUCCUUUUAUUUGCCCUAAAAUACUGCUCUUAUUUUGUUACAUGUAGAAAUAGAUAUUGUUCCUAUACAUGUAGAAAUAGAUAUUUGAUCUUUCCCCUCUUUUUUGUGUGGGGGUGGGGUGGGAUUCUUACAUCAAUACCCACCUCAUGGUCCUCAGAGCAAUUGCCAUUUGUUCUCUUGCCCCAGAUCCCUAGGUCCAGUAAGUACUAAGCACCAGCAUCACUUAGGAUUCAACAGGAAAACGAACCCACACAUGCAAUUUCAACAUUGGAAUUAGAGGGUAAAAUGAACAAAUGAAAACACUGAGGUAGACCAGAGGUACAAAGCUCAGGAAACAUCUUCCACCCUUAGGGCUAUAGGACAAACAGAAAAGGUUGCAAUCACUAAGACCUGGGAGCUCAGAGGAGAAGCCCAGGGACCCAGUUCAGACCUCUGAGGAAGGAGAAGCCCAGGGACCCAGCUCAGACCUCCAACGAAGGGCACUGACAGCUGUUUCCAGAUCUGAGUGCCAAAAGAAGCAGGAGGCUGGAACCAACUGCCCCUGCUGAGGCAA
rnacentral:lncRNA from 10 species